rnacentral:tRNA from 1 species
GGAGAGGUGCCAGAGCCCGGUUUAUUGGGACGGUCUCGAAAACCGUUGUGGGGGCAACCCCACCGAGGGUUCGAAUCCCUCCCUCUCCG